rnacentral:rRNA from 1 species
GGUUAAGCGACUAAGCGUACACGGUGGAUGCCCUGGCAGUCAGAGGCGAUGAAGGACGUGCUAAUCUGCGAAAAGCGUCGGUAAGGUGAUAUGAACCGUUAUAACCGGCGAUGUCCGAAUGGGGAAACCCAGUGUGUUUCGACACACUAUCAUUAACUGAAUCCAUAGGUUAAUGAGGCGAACCGGGGAACUGAAACAUCUAAGUACCCCGAGGAAAAGAAAUCAACCGAGAUUCCCCCAGUAGCGGCGAGCGAACGGGGAGGAGCCCAGAGCCUGAAUCAGUGUGUGUGUUAGUGGAAGCGUCUGGAAAGGCGCGCGAUACAGGGUGACAGCCCCGUACACAAAAAUGCACAUGCUGUGAGCUCGAUGAGUAGGGCGGGACACGUGGUAUCCUGUCUGAAUAUGGGGGGACCAUCCUCCAAGGCUAAAUACUCCUGACUGACCGAUAGUGAACCAGUACCGUGAGGGAAAGGCGAAAAGAACCCCGGCGAGGGGAGUGAAAAAGAACCUGAAACCGUGUACGUACAAGCAGUGGGAGCCCUGAUUUAUCAGGGUGACUGCGUACCUUUUGUAUAAUGGGUCAGCGACUUAUAUUCUGUAGCAAGGUUAACCGAAUAGGGGAGCCGGAGGGAAACCGAGUCUUAACUGGGCGUUAAGUUGCAGGGUAUAGACCCGAAACCCGGUGAUCUAGCCAUGGGCAGGUUGAAGGUUGGGUAACACUAACUGGAGGACCGAACCGACUAAUGUUGAAAAAUUAGCGGAUGACUUGUGGCUGGGGGUGAAAGGCCAAUCAAACCGGGAGAUAGCUGGUUCUCCCCGAAAGCUAUUUAGGUAGCGCCUCGUGAAUUCAUCUCCGGGGGUAGAGCACUGUUUCGGCAAGGGGGUCAUCCCGACUUACCAACCCGAUGCAAACUGCGAAUACCGGAGAAUGUUAUCACGGGAGACACACGGCGGGUGCUAACGUCCGUCGUGAAGAGGGAAACAACCCAGACCGCCAGCUAAGGUCCCAAAGUCAUGGUUAAGUGGGAAACGAUGUGGGAAGGCCCAGACAGCCAGGAUGUUGGCUUAGAAGCAGCCAUCAUUUAAAGAAAGCGUAAUAGCUCACUGGUCGAGUCGGCCUGCGCGGAAGAUGUAACGGGGCUAAACCAUGCACCGAAGCUGCGGCAGCGACACUGUGUGUUGUUGGGUAGGGGAGCGUUCUGUAAGCCUGCGAAGGUGUGCUGUGAGGUAUGCUGGAGGUAUCAGAAGUGCGAAUGCUGACAUAAGUAACGAUAAAGCGGGUGAAAAGCCCGCUCGCCGGAAGACCAAGGGUUCCUGUCCAACGUUAAUCGGGGCAGGGUGAGUCGACCCCUAAGGCGAGGCCGAAAGGCGUAGUCGAUGGGAAACAGGUUAAUAUUCCUGUACUUGGUGUUACUGCGAAGGGGGGACGGAGAAGGCUAUGUUGGCCGGGCGACGGUUGUCCCGGUUUAAGCGUGUAGGCUGGUUUUCCAGGCAAAUCCGGAAAAUCAAGGCUGAGGCGUGAUGACGAGGCACUACGGUGCUGAAGCGACAAAUGCCCUGCUUCCAGGAAAAGCCUCUAAGCAUCAGGUAACAUCAAAUCGUACCCCAAACCGACACAGGUGGUCAGGUAGAGAAUACCAAGGCGCUUGAGAGAACUCGGGUGAAGGAACUAGGCAAAAUGGUGCCGUAACUUCGGGAGAAGGCACGCUGAUAUGUAGGUGAAGCGACUUGCUCGUGGAGCUGAAAUCAGUCGAAGAUACCAGCUGGCUGCAACUGUUUAUUAAAAACACAGCACUGUGCAAACACGAAAGUGGACGUAUACGGUGUGACGCCUGCCCGGUGCCGGAAGGUUAAUUGAUGGGGUCAGCGCAAGCGAAGCUCUUGAUCGAAGCCCCGGUAAACGGCGGCCGUAACUAUAACGGUCCUAAGGUAGCGAAAUUCCUUGUCGGGUAAGUUCCGACCUGCACGAAUGGCGUAAUGAUGGCCAGGCUGUCUCCACCCGAGACUCAGUGAAAUUGAACUCGCUGUGAAGAUGCAGUGUACCCGCGGCAAGACGGAAAGACCCCGUGAACCUUUACUAUAGCUUGACACUGAACACUGGUCCUUGAUGUGUAGGAUAGGUGGGAGGCUUUGAAGUGUGGACGCCAGUCUGCAUGGAGCCGUCCUUGAAAUACCACCCUUUAAUGGCUGGUGUUCUAACGUGGGCCCGUAAUCCGGGUUGCGGACAGUGUCUGGUGGGUAGUUUGACUGGGGCGGUCUCCUCCUAAAGAGUAACGGAGGAGCACGAAGGUUGGCUAAUCCUGGUCGGACAUCAGGAGGUUAGUGCAAUGGCAUAAGCCAGCUUGACUGCGAGCGUGACGGCGCGAGCAGGUGCGAAAGCAGGUCAUAGUGAUCCGGUGGUUCUGAAUGGAAGGGCCAUCGCUCAACGGAUAAAAGGUACUCCGGGGAUAACAGGCUGAUACCGCCCAAGAGUUCAUAUCGACGGCGGUGUUUGGCACCUCGAUGUCGGCUCAUCACAUCCUGGGGCUGAAGUAGGUCCCAAGGGUAUGGCUGUUCGCCAUUUAAAGUGGUACGCGAGCUGGGUUUAGAACGUCGUGAGACAGUUCGGUCCCUAUCUGCCGUGGGCGCUGGAGAACUGAGGGGGGCUGCUCCUAGUACGAGAGGACCGGAGUGGACGCAUCACUGGUGUUCGGGUUGUCAUGCCAAUGGCACUGCCCGGUAGCUAAAUGCGGAAGAGAUAAGUGCUGAAAGCAUCUAAGCACGAAACUUGCCCCGAGAUGAGUUCUCCCUGAGACUUAGAGUCUCCUGAAGGAACGUUGAAGACGACGACGUUGAUAGGCCGGGUGUGUAAGCGCAGCGAUGCGUUGAGCUAACCGGUACUAAUGAACCGUGAGGCUUAACCUU